UACGUAGGUGGCAAGCGUUGUCCGGAUUUACUGGGCGUAAAGAGCGCGCAGGCGGUCGUGCAAGUCGCGUGUGAAAGCCCCCGGCUCAACUGGGGAGGGUCACGCGAUACUGCUCGACUCGAAGGCAGGAGAGGGAAGUGGAAUUCCCGGUGUAGUGGUGAAAUACGUAGAUAUCGGGAGGAACACCAGUGGCGAAGGCGACUUCCUGGCCUGUUCUUGACGCUGAGGCGCGAAAGCUAGGGUAGCAAACGGG
rnacentral:rRNA from 1 species